rnacentral:rRNA from 1 species
AUUGAACGCUGGCGGCAGGCUUAACACAUGCAAGUCGAGCGGGGUGAUGGUGCUUGCACUAUCACUUAGCGGCGGACGGGUGAGUAAUGCUUAGGAAUCUGCCUAUUAGUGGGGGACAACAUCUCGCAAGGGAUGCUAAUACCGCAUACGUCCUACGGGAGAACGCAGGGGAUCACUCGUGACCUCGCGCUAAUCGAUGAGCCUAAGUCGGGUUAGUUAGUUGGUGGUGUAAAGGCCUACCAAGGCGACGAUCUGUAGCGGGUCUGAGAGGAUAAUCGGCCACACUGGGACUGAGACACGGCCCAGACUCCUACGGGAGGCAGCAGUGGGGAAUAUUGGACAAUGGGGGAACCCUGAUCCAGCCAGGCCGCGUGUGUGGAGAAUGCCUUAUGGUUGUAAAGCACUUUAAGCGAGGAGGAGGCGCUUUGGGUUAAUACCCAAGAUGAGUGGACGUUACUCGCAGAAUAAGCACCGGCUAACUCUGUGCCAGCAGCCGCGGUAA